rnacentral:rRNA from 1 species
GCAGUAGCCGCGGUAAUACAGAGGGUGCGAGCGUUAAUCGGAUUUACUGGGCGUAAAGCGUGCGUAGGCGGCUUUUUAAGUCGGAUGUGAAAUCCCUGAGCUUAACUUAGGAAUUGCAUUCGAUACUGGGAAGCUAGAGUAUGGGAGAGGAUGGUAGAAUUCCAGGUGUAGCGGUGAAAUGCGUAGAGAUCUGGAGGAAUACCGAUGGCGAAGGCAGCCAUCUGGCCUAAUACUGACGCUGAGGUACGAAAGCAUGGGGAGCAAACAGGAUUAGAUACCCCGGUAGUCCCUGUCUCUUAUAC